CCUACGGGUGGCUGCAGUGAGGAAUAUUGGUCAAUGGGCGCAAGCCUGAACCAGCCAUGCCGCGUGCAGGAUGACGGUCCUAUGGAUUGUAAACUGCUUUUGUACGGGAAGAAACCUCCCCUCGUGAGGGGAAUUGACGGUACCGUAAGAAUAAGGAUCGGCUAACUCCGUGCCAGCAGCCGCGGUAAUACGGAGGAUCCAAGCGUUAUCCGGAAUCAUUGGGUUUAAAGGGUCCGUAGGCGGCCGAGUAAGUCAGUGGUGAAAUCUCCCCGCUC
rnacentral:rRNA from 1 species